UCAAAGUGGGAAAACUGAAUGAUUAUAGCUAUAAACAAAACUGAAAAGACAUGAAAAGACCAGACACCAAUAAACCAAAUUGCUAAAAUAAAUAAAUCCUAAAGCACUAAAGAAACCGCCCAUUGGAAAAGAAAGCCAUAAAUGUAAAAAACAAACCCCACCCUCAGCCAAAACAGAAAACAAAAACCAAAAUACCAGCCGAAACAUUUUCUCCCUUCUUGGUAGAAGACGAAUAUUUAGAUGAAAGAACAGAGAAAUCCAAAGUUUUAAGUCCUACCAUGGAGAUUCAAAAGAACCGUCUCCAAAAACAAAGCAUAAUAUAACGAAUUUUAGGGCCUUUGAAGCUGAUCCGCCCUAUCUUUUUCCACUAUCAUCAAAACCGGGCCAGGAACCCCAUCAACCCAGAUACCAGAAAACUGUCUUCUCCUUCCUUCCAUCGCCAAAGUGUGGGCCGCUCCAUUUAUCCAGUGAGGAACAAACAGGCAUUGGAAACCCAUUCACUGAGCAAAAAGUAAAGUCCUUUCACAUGCCCUAGCUUCAGCACGAGCGCGUCAACUACGUCCGAAAACAGAUAAGUUUCUGCUCCUACUAUUUCUCCUUCAGAAUCUCUAGCUAGGACUGCUGUUGAGGAAGUUUUAGAAUCACUUUGAAAAGUUGCAUCAAAAUUUAAUUUGAUGAAACCUAGAUUUGGGGGCCUCCAAACUUCAUUCGACAGGGAAAUAGAAGACACUUCCAUUUUCUCUUGGCAUAGAUUAAGUUCUUGACUAUAGCAUCGAAUGAAACCUAACAAUUCCUGCAAAGAGAAAUUAAUACCUUUAUAAACCAACUUAUUCCUUCUGUACCACAAGGCCCAUAAGGAAAUUGCAAUAGGCUGUUUGUUUAGAUCAUCAGCUAAACAAAAAGAAUUAACAAAUUGAUUUUUGCAGCUCAAGGCGUUGUCUACUGGAGCAAUUUUGAUUUGAAGAGAUGCCCAAACACUCUGUAAAGUAUCACAGGACCACAAUAGAUGGUCAGUAUGCUCUGGUGCUGCUUUGCAAAGGGGAAAAACAACACUAUCCCGCAAGGUUCUUUGAUUCAAAUUACAGUAAUUAGGCAAGAAAUUAUUGAGUAAUCUCCAGACCUAUAUUUCAACUUUUACUGGUAUGCGCAUAGCCUAUAAAGACCUGUAAAAAUCCUUGAAACCCACAUUGCUAGGACUGAUGUAAUUUGUGCUUAGAAAAUGUUCUAUAAUUAAGGCAUUGUAACCACUUUUUACUUAGUAUUCCCCCGAGCCGUCAUGCCUCCAGACCAACGUGUCCUCUAAACUAGCUCCUGAUAAUUGAAUUGACAAAAUGCAAGCUGCAUGCUCAUCAUUAACAAUGUUAUGACCAGUUCCUUGUUCCAGGAAUCCAAUGGUCAUUCCAAAUGUUUAUGCUAGCCCCGUUCCAACUCGCCAUAAAAUCCCAUCUUCAAUCAGAUCUUUAACACUGCAAAUGCUCCCCCAGGUAAAUGAUAGGAUCAACAAAUGAUUGUUGAAGAACCAAGGUGAACCAGAAAGAACCCGUUGCACAUCAACCUCAUGGAAAAACUGAAAAAGAUACCUUUUGUCUCCUAGAUCCGUGAUGUAUAUUCCUCCAAUUGGGUGCCACAAAUCAACCAUAGUAUUAUGUAGUGAGGGAAAAUGGACCACACUGUCCAUGAGACAUCUCCCCACCAAGCAGAAUUGAUAGUUCCGAUCUACCACCGCUGCUUUCUAUUGGAACGUCUUCUCUUCUUCAUCCAACAGUCUCAUAUUUGCUAAUUCUUCUUCCAUACCAAAACACUCAAAUGAACAGGAAACUAAGUAAAACCGGUCAAAAGAAGCGAAAGAAUCAAAACAGAAAGCCAAAAGAAAACAUUUUAAAAAAAAGGGUCAUAAGACAGACAGAAAGCGUGUCAUUUUGACAGACUUCAAAUUCUGGGUUUUUAAAAAUGAAUAUUUAAUUAUUAAGUGGAUGUUUAUCGAGAUUAAGAUAAGUUUGAUGUACAUUAAAAUUCUAAUAUUCAUUAGGAGUAGAAUUUUUAUGUAAUUUAUACUUAUUAUUGUUAGUAAGUACAGAAAAUGAAGAAAUACAGAGUGAAUAUGAAUGAA